rnacentral:rRNA from 1 species
CGAACGGCAGCACAGAGGAGCWUGCUCSKUGGGUGGCGAGUGGCGGACGGGUGAGGAAUACAUCGGAAUCUACYYUGUCGUGGGGGAUAACGUAGGGAAACUUACGCUAAUACCGCAUACGACCUACGGGUGAAAGCGGRGGAYCKYMRGRCYUYGCGCGAUUGRAUGAGCCGAUGUCGGAUUAGCUAGUUGGCGGGGUAAAGGCCCACCAAGGCGACGAUCCGUAGCUGGUCUGAGAGGAUGAUCAGCCACACUGGAACYGAGACACGGUCCAGACUCCUACGGGAGGCAGCAGUGGGGAAUAUUGGACAAUGGGCGCAAGCCUGAUCCAGCCAURCCGCGUGGGUGAAGAAGGCCUUCGGGUUGUAAAGCCCUUUUGUUGGGAAAGAAAAGCAGUCGGUUAAUACCCGAUUGUUCUGACGGU